GUAACUGAUUCAAUGCUUUUGAUACUGGGCUCGGGGCCGUAGGUAAGUGAUGGGAGCACAUUGACAAUGGCCCAGGCUUGGAAGUUGGGGGUUGGAACACUUAAAUGGGCAGUCUCGGUUGUUGACAGGUAGUUUUGGUCAUGAUCUUUGUUGCUGGGGAUAAUUGAUGAUUAGUCAGGGGGUGAGAGCCUUGGAUACUGAAGCAGCGAGUUUGGAAAAUUGGUGAAGCACCUCGCAUACUGAAAUCGUGGCUGUAGGUAAUGGCUGGUGUUUCUGGGAUACUGAUCUGUUGACUGCUGAUAGCUGGUGUAGGGUCUUGGAUACUGACCUGGUGAUUGUGAAUAAUUGGCAAGGGGUCUUGGAUACUGACCAGGCGAUUGCUGCUGGCUGGUGGAGGCUGUUGGAUACUGACCCCGUGACUGUUCCUGGCUGGUGGAGGGUCUUGGAUACUGACCCGGGAAUUGUAGUUCUCAUCCAUAUGAGCAAGGGCUUCAUGUUACUGGCCGUGGCCCUGUGCUGAGUCCUCCUCCCGCCCAUGGCCCUCUCCUCCUGGCCAGUGGUCCUCCGCCUGAACAUGGCCGACUUUGUCUUCAGUUUCCUCUGCCUCGGCAUUGGGCUCCUGAUUUCUCUUCAGCCUGACGCUCUUUUCAGUUAACGGCAAGGCGGUGCACCCAAGUCCGGUGGUGUCCUACCUGGUGACCUCCUACCUGUGCUGGGACGCCAGCGACUUGAUGCUGCACUCCGCCAUCUCCCAGGAGCCGUGUCCUACCUAAGCCCAGUGGGCAUGUGAAGCAGAGGGCAGCCCUUGAAUGCGCGGCGGCUGAGCUACCGCGGGUGGGCCGUGCAGCAGGGCGCAGCGAGGCGGACAUCCAAACAGCGGAACUCAGACGCUGACUCCGAGCGCACCCCGGGCCUUCCCAUUUCAUACACCCUCGAGGAUGAGACCCAAGCACCUCCAAGGAAUAGCACCCGAGGUCUUCAGGACACCGACCGGUAGCCAUGGCCAGAUGCCCGGCCAACCCCUUCAGCGUGGCCACGCCCUGGAUAUUCGACCUCCCCUGAGGCCCCACCCCCUGAUAUCAGGCCACGCCCUCCGAGGGGACCGGUGGCAAACUCCAGCCCUCGCUCUAGGGCCCGCCCUUUGCGGCUUUGUCCCUGCCCACUGGGUCCUCACAGUACCUCCACCCCAGAGGCCCAGCAUCCCCUCCCGUUCUGCAGACACUUGUCCAGCGUCCCGCUGAGCUCGGCAGUGUGGCUAGUUUGUGUGGCCCUGCCCCUGGUGCCCAGCCAGGGUGGUCUGCAUGGAACUUCUUUCCCGGAGUUCCGGCCUCAGCUCCGAUGUCCACCCUUGUCCCCAGGUGGACACAGCACCGCCCAGCAUUUGGUGCAACUCCACCCUUCUGCAGAACGGGCCCCUCCCUGGGAAGGCAUGGCUUGCAAUAACAUCCCUCUGUACCUUUUCUGGCUUCCCCGCCACAAUAAAACCUCUCAGCCUCAGACCUUCCAUUGCCCCCCACCUCCCCACCAGGGCAGGGUCCAUCCUAGUGUGAGUGAACUGUUCUGGCGUCCCUGACUUGCCCUUUGGGA
rnacentral:lncRNA from 1 species